AAGGACACCUACACUUCUACCGAGUCAAAGAAGUGAGAAGCAGACAAAACAAGCAUAUAAGAUGUUGUCUGAUUGCUUCAGAUAUGGAAUGAACACUGCUUGCUGUAGAGCCAAGACACUUGUGGAGUACUUUGGCGAGCACUUCCUUUUGGAGAAAUGUCUGGUGUGUGAUGUAUGCAUCAAAGGACCACCUGAAAGACAAGAUUUAAAAGCUGAGGCGAUGAUCUUCUUGCAAGUUGUUGC